rnacentral:rRNA from 1 species
UACAGAGGUCUCGAGCGUUGUUCGGAUUCAUUGGGCGUAAAGGGUGCGUAGGUGGCGCUGUAAGUCGGGUGUGAAAUCCUGAGGCUUAACCUCGGAACUGCAUUCGAUACUGCGGCGCUUUGAGGACUGGAGAGGAGACUGGAAUUCAUGGUGUAGCAGUGAAAUGCGUAGAGAUCAUGAGGAAGACCAGUGGCGAAGGCGGGUCUCUGGACAGUUCCUGACACUGAGGCACGAAGGCCAGGGGAGCAAACGGGG